rnacentral:lncRNA from 7 species
GAUGCCUGUGUACCCUUUUUGAAGUUCUGGGGGUGUUUCCCUCUUCCUCAGAUGAGCUCUUUGCAAAAAUCCUGCAAACAAGAGAAGAUGAGGCUGGUGAGAUACUCAAGGUAAAGUUUUGCCUAAUACAAACUGGGAGUCGGUCCCUGCUAUCUAAUGCAAUCCACUAGCGGAAAAGCACUGUCAGAAAAACAGAAACAGAAAUAUUUUUUCCAAGUAAAGAAAUUAAAGACAAAGUCUGAAAGUUUCGCUGCCAAAUGUAUUCGUUUCGAGUGUGUUUGUCUCAUUGAACACUCCUGUGAGAAUUUGGAGCACUUUAGAAUAGAGCUUGCACCAUGGCAUGCUUCAGCACAGAGCCUGAGUUCCUGUUGUAAAGGUGAAUAUCGUUCUCAUUUUAUAGGCGCUGAAAUUGAAUUAGAGAGUAUUUAGAUGCAGCAGAGCAAUGCAUAAUGUGACUCUAAGCAUACAAAUGUCUUAUUUUGGAACUACUCAAAUGCUUUAAACAAGUCAUGGUUUAAAUGGCUUGUCCAAAACCAUACAGCCAGGAAGAUGAGGGAGAGGGUCCGGCUCCUUACUGAGAUCUUUAAAGAAAGUAUCCUAAAUAUAAAUAGCGCAUCUCCAUCGAGGCUACAGGUGCUCAUAUUGAAGCUGUUUCUCUUUUUGGAAUGUAAUGAAUGCUGGCCAGCAAAUAUUGUAAAAGGCACUUUGUAACAUUGAAGUCAACACAGUAAUUAUAUUCAAUAUCCUGUGUUUUUGUCAGGCUUUCUUCUAGACAACUGAAUAUAAACUAGAGCACUGAUAAGCAAAGUAUUCUCCAGGAAGGAUACAAGACUACUUUAUUGCUUCACAUAACUUUUUUUUCAGUUUGCACUUACAUGGUAUCAAAGUAAUAUCACAUUGAAAACGUGACUGUGUGUGCAAGGAGUCAUGCUUCAGAGGAGGAGUUCUUUUCUCUUUCCUGUCUCUUCCAGAGAUAACUGGUCUUUCUGGCAUUAACUGGUGGUUUCACCGGAGCACGCAGCAUUGUGAUUAACCAGGGGCUUCAACUGAAAGGCAUGCAUGCAUUUUUGCAAUUUAAUGAUAAAGAUAUGUGUGCUUUGAAAACAUAUUAGAAACUUGUAGAAUGACUGUGGGGCUAUUAUUAUUUUCAUAUUGUGCCCUGCUAGCUUUCAUCGCCUCUAACAGGAUCAUACUGUUUCUCAUCUUUGCAGAAAUGUGAUGUUCUUGAAGGAGAUUUCUUUUUCCUGGAAACAUUUAAGUUGUCAUGUUGCCAGGUUAAAAUAAAGAGACUCUUGUC